rnacentral:rRNA from 1 species
GAUGAACGCUGGCGGCGUGCCUAAUACAUGCAAGUCGAGCGAACAGACGAGGCGCUUGCUCCUCUGACGUUAGCGGCGGACGGGUGAGUAACACGUGGAUACCCUACCUAUCUGACUGGGAUAACUUCGGGAAACCGGAGCUAAUACCGGAUAAUAUAUUGAACCGCAUGGUUCAAUAGUGAAAGACGGUUUUGCUGUCACUUAUAGCUGCAUCCGGGCCGCAUUAGCUAGUUGGUAAGGUAACGGCUUACCAAGGCGACGAUGCGUAGCCGACCUGAGAGGGUGAUCGGCCACACUGGAACUGAGACACGGUCCAGACUCCUACGGGAGGCAGCAGUAGGGAAUCUUCCGCAAUGGGCGAAAGCCUGACGGAGCAACGCCGCGUGAGUGAUGAAGGUCUUCGGAUCGUAAAACUCUGUUAUUAGGGAAGAACAAAUGUGUAAGUAACUAUGCACGUCUUGACGGUACCUAAUCAGAAAGCCACGGCUAACUACGUG